rnacentral:rRNA from 1 species
UACAGAGGCCACGAGCGUUAGGCGGAAUCACUGGGCUUAAAGCGCGUGUAGGCGGGAUCGUAAGUACUUUGUGAAAUCCCACAGCUCAACUGUGGAACUGCUUUGUAUACUGCGAUUCUUGAGGCACGCAGGGGCAACCGGAACACAUGGUGGAGCGGUGAAAUGCGUAGAUAUCAGGUGGAACGCCAGUGGUGAAAACAGGUUGCUGGGGGUGUACUGACGCUGAGACGCGAAAGCGAGGGGAUCAAAGGGG